rnacentral:lncRNA from 1 species
UUGUAGAAGGAUGAAACUGAGAUCAGUUUCGGAAUCAAAUCUCAAAUUUGAAAGUUAUAGCAAUUUCGAUUUUAGGGACUAAAUUCAAAAAAAUGCAAAACUUUAGGGAAUUUUUGAAAAUAAAAUUUAAACUUUCAUAUGCAAAUUAUAGGAUGAAAUUAAGUAUUUUAUAUUGAUAAAUUGCGUUGAAUUAUCAUAUAGAUCGAGAUUUAAACCAGUUAGAGGAUAACCGCGAAAAGGGAAAGUUGCAAAUUAGUAUUUGACAUCUUAUUAAUUGUUGUUUUUUCUAGGUAAGUUCAUGUGAAAGUUACUAUUUUAAUUCUUGUUAAGUUUAUAUUAUAUUAAUUUGCUUGCUAGUUGAAUUGUUAAGAAAACAAUGAUUUUUGGAAUCAAAAGGACUAAAUCGUAAAGUAUGAUGUAUGUGACAAAUACGAACUAAUACCAACCCCUACAACAAUCACUCAUAGUAGACCCAUUUCAAUGCUUAGUAAUACUAUUUCUGCCAAUGGCCUUAGU